GGGUUGUAAACUUUUUUUAUAUUAGAAUAAAGUGCAGUAUGUAUACUGUUUGUAUGUAUAAUAUGAAUAGGAUCGGCUAACUCCGUGCCAGCAGCCGCGGUAAUACGGAGGAUCCGAGCGUUAUCCGGAUUUAUUGGGUUUAAAGGGAGCGUAGGUGGGCUGGUAAGUCAGUUGUGAAAGUUUGCGGCUCAACCGUAAAAUUGCAGUUGAUACUGUCAGUCUUGAGUACAGUAGAGGUGGGCGGAGUUCGUGGUGUAGCGGUGAAAUGCUUAGAUAUCACGAGGAACUCCGAUUGCGAAGGCAGCUCACUGGACUGCAACUGACACUGAUGCUCGAAAGUGUGGGUAUCAAACAGGAUUAGAUACCCUGGUAGUCCACACAGUAAA
rnacentral:rRNA from 1 species